rnacentral:rRNA from 1 species
GAUGAACGCUAGCGGCAGGCUUAACACAUGCAAGUCGAGGGGCAGCAUAAUGGAUAGCAAUAUCUAUGGUGGCGACCGGCGCACGGGUGCGUAACGCGUAUGCAACCUACCUUUAACAGGGGGAUAACACUGAGAAAUUGGUACUAAUACCCCAUAAUAUCAUAGAAGGCAUCUUUUAUGGUUGAAAAUUCCGAUGGUUAGAGAUGGGCAUGCGUUGUAUUAGCUAGUUGGUGGGGUAACGGCUCACCAAGGCGACGAUACAUAGGGGGACUGAGAGGUUAACCCCCCACACUGGUACUGAGACACGGACCAGACUCCUACGGGAGGCAGCAGUGAGGAAUAUUGGUCAAUGGACGCAAGUCUGAACCAGCCAUGCCGCGUGCAGGAUGACGGCUCUAUGAGUGGUAAACUGCUUUUGUACGAGGGUAAACGCAGAUACGUGUAUCUGUCUGAAAGUAUCGUACGAAUAAGGAUCGGCUAACUCCGUG